rnacentral:rRNA from 1 species
ACGUAGGUGGCAAGCGUUGUCCGGAUUUAUUGGGUUUAAAGGGUGCGUAGGUUGUUUUGUAAGUCAGUGGUGAAAUCCGGCAGCUUAACUGUCGAUGUGCCAUUGAUACUGCAGAACUUGAGUACAGACGAGGUAGGCGGAAUUGACGGUGUAGCGGUGAAAUGCUUAGAUAUCGUCAAGAACACCGAUAGCGAAGGCAGCUUACUAGACUGUAACUGACACUGAUGCACGAAAGUGUGGGGAUCAAACAG